UAAAAUGGAGAUAAUUUAUUAUCUUGACCCAUUGGCGAAAGACAUUAAUAUGAGGCAAGAUUUGAAGAAGUUGUUUGACAUGGUUAUACAAACCUACCGAGCUCAAAGAGGGUCUAUGGUUUCAAAGUCUAAGUUAAGCAAUAUCAAAUGGACACCAAUUAAGUGUCCAAAACAAUCCAACGGCCAUGAUUGUGGGUAUUACAUUUGUCGAUAUAUGAAGGAAAUUGUCACAUAUU